AAAGACACGCACACUGCACAUGUUUACAGAAGCUGGAGAUGAUUGGUCUCUUACACAUUUGCUGCCAUACAUUUAACAAGAAGCUAAGAUAGCUGAGACCCCUCUCACUGAAGACAUCCUUGAGGAAGACCAUGUCCUCUUUGUGAUUGGCAUCUGGACGCAGCUGUGAGGUCAGCAGGGCAAGCGUCUCAUGCAACCCUACAUGCGGACAGGAGAUCAUCCCUGACGAUGCACCAGGACACACCAGGAGUCGGUGACUUACCUUUCCUCCAAUCUUCUACAGUCAUUGUUUUUGGAGUGAGGAGAAAUCAAGCCCAUAUACGGGAUACCACAAACACAACAAAGUGACCACAAAUACGUGCACAAACACACACACACACACACAAAGAGGUUUGUUUAUGAGCAAACCAAUCACAAAACUUGUACAUCCAUUAUGAUAAAAUUAUGAUUUCAAACAUUAAAGUUAUUAAAUCUGUAGUACUUUGUACUACUGUUAGCUUUCUGCUAACCACAAAAGCAGUUGUUUCAUUAAUGCAAUAGACUUCCUUAAUAUGUGGCCUUGUCAUGACUACAACUGCUCAUAAUGGACUUCAGUCAUUCAGUCAAGUAAUUCAUCAGAGAAAAUUAGAAUAAUCCAAUCGUUGGAUCAAUUAGGAGUAUUGUAGUUCAGUUUGGCAAGCAGAGUAAAUUUGGAAAUGGACAAGGGAUUGAUUGAACAAUAUAUUUAGUAUUUGUUAGUGGUGGCAGAUGAUACUAUUGUUAGUGUAAAUAUGAGAUACAUGCAGGAUUAAUGGAAGAAUUUUUUGUAACUUACAGUGGGGCAAUUCUUAGAAUGAUAUAAAAAAAGAGGUAUAAUUAUUAGUAAUAUAUAAUAUAUUAUAUGCCAUAUAGUAUAUAAAUAAUAUAAUUUUAGACUACUGCAAAUGUUGGGGGUCAGUUAGAUUUUUAAUGGUUUUUGAAAAAACUCUUGUUUACCAUUUAUUUGAUGAUAAAAUACAGUAAAAAAUAAAAAAAAAUAUUGUGAAAAAAAUACAAUUUAAAAUAACUUUAUAUUUAAAAGUUUAAUUUAUUGAUGACAAAUUAGAAUUUUCAAUCUUUAGUGUCAAUUUAUCUAAUAUGCUGAUUUGUUGCUAAUAAACUUUUGUUAUCAAGGUUGAAAACAGUUGGAACUUGACCCCAGAUUGAACAGUAGUGCUUGUGCAUCCUUAAAGUAUCUUACAGUAACUUAAUUUUACAAUUAUUUAUUAUUCAGUGAAAAAGGUCCACAAAUAAGCUUGUCUUUGAAUUGAUACAAACCCCACUGUAAGUUAAAGAUAAGUGUGACUGCUCUAAGAAUCAAAUGGUUUAACUGGUUU